AGCGGCGGACGGGUGAGUAACGCGUGGGUAACCUGCCCUGUACACACGGAUAACAUACCGAAAGGUAUGCUAAUACGAGAUAAUAUACUUUUAUCGCAUGGUAGAAGUAUCAAAGCUUUUGCGGCACAGGAUGGACCCGCGUCUGAUUAGCUAGUUGGUAAGGUAACGGCUUACCAAGGCGACGAUCAGUAGCCGACCUGAGAGGGUGAUCGGCCACAUUGGAACUGAGACACGGUCCAAACUCCUACGGGAGGCAGCAGUGGGGAAUAUUGCACAAUGGGCGAAAGCCUGAUGCAGCAACGCCGCGUGAGCGAUGAAGGCCUUCGGGUCGUAAAGCUCUGUCCUCAAGGAAGAUAAUGACGGUACUUGAGGAGGAAGCCCCGGCUAACUACGUGCCAGCAGCCGCGGUAAUACGUAGGGGGCUAGCGUUAUCCGGAAUUACUGGGCGUAAAGGGUGCGUAGGUGGUUUCUUAAGUCAGAGGUGAAAGGCUACGGCUCAACCGUAGUAAGCCUUUGAAACUGGGAAACUUGAGUGCAGGAGAGGAGAGUGGAAUUCCUAGUGUAGCGGUGAAAUGCGUAGAUAUUAGGAGGAACACCAGUUGC
rnacentral:rRNA from 1 species